GACGAACGCUGGCGGCGUGCUUAACACAUGCCAGUCGAACGGAAAGGCCCUGCUUUUGUGGGGUGCUCGAGUGGCGAACGGGUGAGUAACACGUGAGUAACCUGCCCUUGACUUUGGGAUAACUUCAGGAAACUGGGGCUAAUACCGGAUAGGAGCUCCUGCUGCAUGGUGGGGGUUGGAAAGUUUCGGCGGUUGGGGAUGGACUCGCGGCUUAUCAGCUUGUUGGUGGGGUAGUGGCUUACCAAGGCUUUGACGGGUAGCCGGCCUGAGAGGGUGACCGGCCACAUUGGACCUGAGAAACGGCCCAGAUUCCUACGGGAGCAGCAGUGGGGAAUAUUGCACAAUGGGCGGAAGCCUGAUGCAGCAACGCCGCGUGCGGGAUGACGGCCUUCGGGUUGUAAACCGCUUUCGCCUGUGACGAAGCGUGAGUGACGGUAAUGGGUAAAGAAGCACCGGCUAACUACGUG
rnacentral:rRNA from 1 species